rnacentral:rRNA from 1 species
GACGAACCGUGCGAACGUUAUUCGGAAUCACUGGGCUUAAAGGGCGCGUAGGCGGGCGACCAAGUCAGGGGUGAAAUCGUUCGGCCCAACCGGACAAGGGCCCCUGAUACUGGUUGUCUCGAGGGAGGUAGGGGUCGAUGGAACUUCCGGUGGAGCGGUGAAAUGCGUAGAGAUCGGAAAGAACACCAACGGCGAAAGCACUCUGCUGGGCCGACACUGACACUGAGAGACGAAAGCUAGGGGAGCGAAUGGG